GUGGGGAAUAUUGGACAAUGGGGGGAACCCUGAUCCAGCCAUGCCGCGUGUGUGAAGAAGGCCUUUUGGUUGUAAAGCACUUUAAGCGAGGAGGAGGCUACCGAGAUUAAUACUCUUGGAUAGUGGACGUUACUCGCAGAAUAAGCACCGGCUAACUCUGUGCCAGCAGCCGCGGUAAUACAGAGGGUGCAAGCGUUAAUCGGAUUUACUGGGCGUAAAGCGCGCGUAGGUGGCCAAUUAAGUCAAAUGGGAAAUCCCCGAGCUUAACUUAGGAAUUGCAUUCGAUACUGGUUGGCUAGAGUAUGGGAGAGGAUGGUAGAAUUCCAGGUGUAGCGGUGAAAUGCGUAGAGAUCUGGAGGAAUACCGAUGGCGAAGGCAGCCAUCUGGCCUAAUACUGACACUGAGGUGCGAAAGCAUGGGGAGCAAACAGGAUUAGAUACCCGGGUAGUCC
rnacentral:rRNA from 1 species